AACAUGUCUCUUGAUAACAAAUAUCUCAACUCUCACCAUGAAAAAGAAUGUAGCGAAAUGCGAUACUUAGUGUGAAUUAUAGAAUCUUGUGAAUCAUCGAGUCUUUCAACGCAAGUUGCACCUAAGGCUUCAGCUGAGGGCACGUCUUCUUGGGCAUCGCAC
rnacentral:rRNA from 1 species